GACGAACGCUGGCGGCGUGCUUAACACAUGCAAGUCGAACGGAGUGGCGAACGGGUGAGUAACACGUGUGUGACCUGCCCUGCACUUCGGGAGAAUCCUGGGAAACUGGGUCUAAUACUGGAUAGUGUGGGAUGGGCCCUCGGCAUAUCGGCUUGUGGGUGGGGUAAUGGCCUACCAAGGCGGCGACGGGUAGCCGGCCGGGGAGGGUGGACGGCCACAAUGGGACUGAGACACGGCCCAGACUCGUACGGGGGGCAGCGGGGGGGAAUAUUGUACAAGGGGCGGAAGUCUAAUGAAGCGACGCCGGGUGGGGGAUGCCGGUCUUCGGUUUGUAAACUCCUUUCACCAUCGACGCGGUAGAUGGAGAAGAAGCACCGGCUAACUACGUGCCAGCAGCCGCGGUAAUAC
rnacentral:rRNA from 1 species